UGACUGAGUGGCGGACGGUGAGUAACGCGUGGGUAACCUGCCCUGUACAGGGGACAACAGUUAGAAAUGACUGCUAAUACCGCAUAAGCGCACAGGACCGCAUGGUCCGGUGUGAAAAACUCCGGUGGUACAGGAUGGACCCGCGUCUGAUUAGGUAGUUGGCGGGGUAACGGCCCACCAAGCCGACGAUCAGUAGCCGACCUGAGAGGGUGACCGGCCACAUUGGGACUGAGACACGGCCCAAACUCCUACGGGAGGCAGCAG
rnacentral:rRNA from 1 species